AUGAUGGCGGCCUUCCCGUUGCUCCUGCUCGUCCUCGUGGUGGCCGCGCCGUCCCCGCUCCUCCGCCCCGACGCCGACUCAGACAACGACAACGGAUCCGCUGCGUCCUCCGCCCCCGCGAGCUCCCACCCCUCCUCCGCGCACUCGCCGGCGCCGUCGUCGGCCCUGCGCUCCGCCGCCACUCCAUCCCCCGCCGACAAGGAAGGCGAUUACAACAAGAAGAAGAAGGAGAAGGCCCCGCCGGCGAUGGAGGUGAAGGCCGGAAGUGGCAGCGCGGAGGAGCAGCCGCAGAAGGCGGCGGACGUGGCCAAGAGGCGCGAGGAGAUGAACGGCGGGACGAAGGUGGGCAUGUUCCAUUUUUCUUCCUCUCACCACUACAAGAUGCUUUGCUUUGCUGCUCCCGGUGAUGCUACGCCAUGUUUCUCGAAAAUAAAACGCCAUGCGUCCGUCCGUGUAGAGGCUUUGCUACUCCCGGUGAUGCUACAACAUGUUUAUCAUCGUCUCUUGGAAUUCAUGUACUGCUUCCGUUUUUCUUCCUUUUACCACUACAAGAAACAGGUGUACCGCCAUGAAUGCUGUGUGUUCCUAAAGGAUGGACAAUAA
rnacentral:rRNA from 1 species